AGACGUUUGAUCAUGGCUCAGAAUCAACGCUGGCGGCGUGCCUCAGACAUGCAAGUCGAACGCGAAAGCUCUCUUCGGAGAGCAAGUAGAGUGGCGCACGGGUGAGUAACACGUGGGUAAUUUACCUUUGGGUGGGGAAUAACAGCCGGAAACGGCUGCUAAUACCGCAUAAUGCAGCGGCAUCUUAAUGAUGACAGUUGUUAAAGCGAGGGAUCGCAAGACCUCGCGCCUAAAGAGAAGCCCGCGGCAGAUUAGCUAGUUGGUGAGGUAAUGGCUCACCAAGGCGACGAUCUGUAGCCGGCCUGAGAGGGCGGUCGGCCACACUGACACUGACAUACGGGUCAACUCCUACGGGAGGCAGCAGUCGGGAAUUUUGGGCAAUGGGCGCAAGCCUGACCCAGCAACGCCGCGUGAAGGAUGAAGUUUUUCGGAAUGUAAACUUCACAAGAAUGGGAAGAAUAAGUUGAGGUUAAUAGCUUUAACGAUGACGGUACCAUUUGUAAG
rnacentral:rRNA from 1 species